UACGUAGGGUGCGAGCGUUAUUCGGAUUUACUGGGCGUAAAGCGCACCUAGGUGGCUUCUUAAGUUGGAUGUGAAAUCUCCCGGCUUAACCGGGAGGCGCCAUUCAAUACUGAGGAGCUUGAGGCCAGCAGGGGAAGGUGGAAUUCCCGGUGUAGUGGUGGAAUGCGUAGAGAUCGGGAGGAACACCAGUGGCGAAAGCGACCUUCUGGGCUGCGCCUGACACUCAAGUGCGAAAGCGUGGGGAGCAAACAGG
rnacentral:rRNA from 1 species